rnacentral:rRNA from 1 species
AUUGAACGCUGGCGGAAUGCUUUACACAUGCAAGUCGAACGGCAGCACGGACUUCGGUCUGGUGGCGAGUGGCGAACGGGUGAGUAAUGUAUCGGAACGUGCCCAGUCGUGGGGGAUAACGUAGUGAAAAUUACGCUAAUACCGCAUACGAUCUAUGGAUGAAAGCGGGGGAUCGCAAGACCUCGCGCGAUUGGAGCGGCCGAUAUCAGAUUAGGUAGUUGGUGGGGUAAAGGCCCACCAAGCCAACGAUCUGUAGCUGGUCUGAGAGGACGACCAGCCACACUGGAACUGGGACACGGUCCAGACUCCGACGGGAGGCAGCAGUGGGGAAUUUUGGACAAUGGGCGAAAGCCUGAUCCAGCCAUUCCGCGUGAAGGAUGAAGGCCCUCGGGUUGUAAACUGCUUUUGUACAGAACGAAAAGGUUUCUACUAAUACUAGGAGCUCAUGACGGUACUGUAAGAAUAAGCACCGGCUAACUACGUGCCAGCCGCCGCGGUAA